rnacentral:tRNA from 1 species
AAAGUCCUAGCUUAAUUAAAGCAUCUGGGUUGCAUUCAGAAGAUGCAGGAUAGUAGCCUGCGGAUUUUA